rnacentral:rRNA from 1 species
CUGGCAGUCAGAGGCGAUGAAGGACGUGCUAAUCUGCGAUAAGCGUCGGUAAGGUGAUAUGAACCGUUAUAACCGGCGAUUUCCGAAUGGGGAAACCCAGUGUGUUUCGACACACUAUCAUUAACUGAAUCCAUAGGUUAAUGAGGCGAACCGGGGGAACUGAAACAUCUAAGUACCCCGAGGAAAAGAAAUCAACCGAGAUUCCCCCAGUAGCGGCGAGCGAACGGGGAGCAGCCCAGAGCCUGAAUCAGUGUGUGUGUUAGUGGAAGCGUCUGGAAAGGCGCGCGAUACAGGGUGACAGCCCCGUACACAAAAAUGCACAUGCUGUGAGCUCGAUGAGUAGGGCGGGACACGUGGUAUCCUGUCUGAAUAUGGGGGGACCAUCCUCCAAGGCUAAAUACUCCUGACUGACCGAUAGUGAACCAGUACCGUGAGGGAAAGGCGAAAAGAACCCCGGCGAGGGGAGUGAAAAAGAACCUGAAACCGUGUACGUACAAGCAGUGGGAGCACGCUUAGGCGUGUGACUGCGUACCUUUUGUAUAAUGGGUCAGCGACUUAUAUUCUGUAGCAAGGUUAACCGAAUAGGGGAGCCGAAGGGAAACCGAGUCUUAACUGGGCGUUAAGUUGCAGGGUAUAGACCCGAAACCCGGUGAUCUAGCCAUGGGCAGGUUGAAGGUUGGGUAACACUAACUGGAGGACCGAACCGACUAAUGUUGAAAAAUUAGCGGAUGACUUGUGGCUGGGGGUGAAAGGCCAAUCAAACCGGGAGAUAGCUGGUUCUCCCCGAAAGCUAUUUAGGUAGCGCCUCGUGAAUUCAUCUCCGGGGGUAGAGCACUGUUUCGGCAAGGGGGUCAUCCCGACUUACCAACCCGAUGCAAACUGCGAAUACCGGAGAAUGUUAUCACGGGAGACACACGGCGGGUGCUAACGUCCGUCGUGAAGAGGGAAACAACCCAGACCGCCAGCUAAGGUCCCAAAGUCAUGGUUAAGUGGGAAACGAUGUGGGAAGGCCCAGACAGCCAGGAUGUUGGCUUAGAAGCAGCCAUCAUUUAAAGAAAGCGUAAUAGCUCACUGGUCGAGUCGGCCUGCGCGGAAGAUGUAACGGGGCUAAACCAUG